CAGAGUGGGCUUCAUGCCCAUAGAGUUUCCAGCUCCCCUACGGUCUCAGUUACAGAUUUCCUAUAAACAGUUGCCUGAAGGAGAACACCCACAGCUCUCUGGGAAUGAGCAAUAAUCCAUAGCACUGGAAAGUUUUAAAAAAUUAACAUUUCUUCCAGAGAAAGCCAGAUCCACGGAAGCCAGAUGUACCGCAGAGUGGUGAUGUGGUAGGAAGUUAGACAUGAGCAGAGCAAGGAUGAUGGGCCAGCUCAGAAAAGCAGAAAAACCGGACCAGGAACUCUAAGGCUGACCUCAAGACCAGCAGCAUUGAAGAAUGACCCCCUGCCCUGGCGCUGACCAAUCAAUCAGUGGAGACCUAGACCCUGGAAGGA